rnacentral:sRNA from 1 species
GAGAGUUGGGAGUAAACAGCCCCGAAUGGAGUGCCCAGGCGUGUUCGCCGCGGAGGCGCCGUUAUCCCGGGCCCGCCAGCCCUGAGCUCCCGGCGGCGCAGAUUCAUACUUCUUGGAUUGAAUCCCUAGGGGAGAUUUUAGAAAAGCAGGCGACCUGCCUCUGAAGAGUGUGGCCUCUGGAGCCAGGCUGACCACCUGAGUUCUCAGGCCAGCUGUCCUACUUGUUGGUGUUGUGGCCCCAGAUUGGCUCACAGUGGUUGAUCAACCCCGUUGGACAUUGGUUCUAUGGUACAAAUGGAGUAUAGGACUCAGUCGUCACGGCCUGAGUGAGAGAAGCCUUAUUUCCAAGAUGGAGAAGAAGCGGAGAAAGAAAUGAAAGCCUCUCUUCAGGCUGAACCACAAAAGGCCAUGGGAUUUAACUUUUAUUUACGUUGGACAAGACUGUAAGAUGGCUGAUCAGUAAUGUUGCAGCUUUUAGCCGAAACAAAAAUUCACUUCUAAUCAAGAAGAAAAAAGUGUGAUUUGAAUAUAUGCAAUUUUAUGAU